UACGUAGGGGGCAAGCGUUAUCCGGAUUUACUGGGUGUAAAGGGAGCGUAGACGGCGUCGCAAGUCUGAAGUGAAAGCCCGUGGCUCAACCGCGGAACCGCUUUGGAAACUGCGAGGCUGGAGUGCUGGAGAGGUAAGCGGAAUUCGUGGUGUAGCGGUGAAAUGCAUAGAUAUCACGCAGAACUCCGAUUGCGAAGGCAGCAUACCGGCGCCCAACUGACGCUGAGGCACGAAAGCGUGGGUAUCGAACAGG
rnacentral:rRNA from 1 species